UCCCAGAGUCCUCUGGGAAGAGGGAUUGACAGUUACACCAUUCUGUGAGAGAAAUAGGGGCCUUCUAACAACUCAGCACUUCCCAUGAUUCUCUGGGGGAAGCCAUGGCAGUUAAAGUGGUAGAGUCCAGCUGUGAUUUUUCCAUUUCCCCAAUAUCCUUCUUUUAAUAAGGUGACCAGCACGGGGGAAAAUUAGAAUGAAGACUUCUAUCUCCUUGGGAUAUUUCUACCUCUGAGGAUAGUACUUACUGAGUGGAGAGAGAGAGAGGUAUGUGUGAGGUGUUUAUCUGUGGAAAGCAGGAGAUAGCGUUGCAAAGAAGAAACGUGUACGCCGGGGAAUUGAAGAUCCAGCAAAUGGCUGACUGGAUUAAAAAACAACAACCCGCACAUGCCAUAAAAAAACAGAACAACAACCAACACUCCGCGCCCCCACCAACAGCAGAUGAAUUAAGAUGUUGUGCAGCACAUGACGGCUUCAACGAAACAGCUCGUGGUUUCCCCCUGCUAAUUCAGAAAUACCUGAAGAUGACACACCUGCAGCAAUAAAAUGAAGCCUUUCUCUGCAUUA